UACAGAGGUCUCAAGCGUUGUUCGGAUUCAUUGGGCGUAAAGGGUGCGUAGGCGGCGCGGUAAGUCGGGUGUGAAAUUUCGAGGCUUAACUUCGAAACUGCAUUCGAUACUGCCGUGCUUGAGGACUGGAGAGGAGACUGGAAUUUACGGUGUAGCGGUGAAAUGCGUAGAUAUCGUAAGGAAGACCAGUGGCGAAGCGGGUCUCUGGACAGUUCCUGACACUGAGGCACGAAGGCCAGGGGAGCAAACGGG
rnacentral:rRNA from 1 species